rnacentral:tRNA from 1 species
AUUUAUAUAAUUUAAUAAAAAUAUUAAUUUUGUAAAUUAAUUAUACUAAUAUCUAGUUAUAAAUA